rnacentral:rRNA from 1 species
UACAGAGGUCUCAAGCGUUGUUCGGAUUCAUUGGGCGUAAAGGGUGCGUAGGCGGCGCGGUAAGUCGGGUGUGAAAUUUCGAGGCUUAACUUCGAAACUGCAUUCGAUACUGCCGUGGCUUGAGUCCGGUAGAGGAGCAGGGAAUUCCUGGUGUAGCGGUGAAAUGCGCAGAUAUCAGGAGGAACACCAGCGGCGAAGGCGCUGCUCUGGGCCGGUACUGACGCUGAGGAGCGAAAGCGUGGGGAGCGAACAGG